rnacentral:rRNA from 1 species
AAAUUUGGAUUAAUACCUCAUAAUAUUGUUUUUUGGCAUCAUUAAACAAUUAAAACUUCGGUGGUUAUAGAUGAGCAUGCGUCCUAUUAGCUUGUUGGUAAGGUAACGGCUUACCAAGGCAACGAUAGGUAGGGGGCCUGAAAGGGUGAUCCCCCACACUGGUACUGAGACACGGACCAGACUCCUACGGGAGGCAGCAGUGAGGAAUAUUGCGCAAUGGAGGAAACUCUGACGCAGCCAUGCCGCGUGCAGGAAGACGGCCCUACGGGUUGAAACUGCUUUUAUAUAGGAGAAACCCCGAUACGUGUAU